rnacentral:rRNA from 1 species
UCGCACGAGAAAGGGGAGCAAUCCCUGAGUAAAGUGGCGUACGGGUGAGUAACACGUGGAUCAUCUACCUUUUAGUGGGGAAUACCCCUGGGAAACUGGGGACAAUACCGCAUAAGCUCGUAAGAGGAAAGCCGAAAGGCGCUGAAAGAGGAGUCCGCGGCUGAUUAUGCUAGAUGGCGGGGUAACGGCCCACCAUGGCGAAGAUCGGUAGCCGGCCUGAGAGGGCACACGGCCACACUGGCACUGAAACACGGGCCAGACUCCUACGGGAGGCAGCAGUGGGGAAUCUUGCACAAUGGAGGAAACUCUGAUGCAGCGACGCCGCGUGAGCGAUGAAGCCCUUCGGGGUGUAAAGCUCUUUCGACGGGAACGAUAAUGACGGUACCCGAAGAAGAAGCUGCGGCUAACUACGUGCCAGCAGCCGCGGUAAUACGUAGGCAGCAAGCGUUGUUCGGAAUUACUGGGCGUAAAGAGUGUGUAGGCGGUGCUCUAAGUCUGUUGUGAAAUCUCCCGGCUUAACUGGGAGGGUGCAGCGGAAACUGGAGUGCUUGAGGGUGGGAGAGGUAAGCGGAAUUCCUGGUGUAGCGGUGAAAUGCGUAGAUAUCAGGAGGAACACCUGUGGUGUAGACAGCUUACUGGACCACUUCUGACGCUGAGGCACGAAAGCGUGGGUAGCAAACAGGAUUAGAUACCCUGGUAGUCCACGCCCUAAACGAUGCAUACUUGGUGUGAGCCAUUCAUUUGGUUCGUGCCGGAGCUAACGCG